rnacentral:rRNA from 1 species
AUACGUAGGUGGCGAGCGUUAUCCGGAUUUACUGGGUGUAAAGGGCGUGUAGGCGGGUCUGCAAGUCGGAUGUGAAAUUCCCGGGCUUAACUCGGGCGGGUCAUCCGAAACUGCGGAUCUUGAGUACUGGAGAGGAUAGUGGAAUUCCUAGUGUAGCGGUAAAAUGCGUAGAUAUUCGGAGGAACACCAGUGGCGAAGGCGGCCUACUGGGCUCUAACUGACGCUGAGGCUCGAAAGUGUGGGGAGC